UCCCCAGUUACUAAUUAGUUCCAGUCAGUAUAUAGUCUUUGUGUUUCCCCCAUGUGGUGGUUGGUUCGUCGUCCUCAUGGUUCUGUCUGUUCAUGUGUCUCGUCAGCUCUCGUCACGUUACCCAGCAGAGAGAUGCAUAUUGGGCCUUCAAGUUGUGUCUUGCAACAUGAAGACCAGAGUCUGAAGCCGUGAGUCAUUCAGGAAACUUCCAAAAGAAGAGGAUCAUGUGAUAGGAGACUGAGAGAUCAGUGAAGAUUACGUUGUGACCGAAUGUCAGCAAGCGGUUGCCUACGACAUUGUUUCCAAGUUUGGACAUCAGGCGUGUCCGUACCACAGUUGAUGUGUUUUCAAAGGGAAACAUAGUAUGGAUAGAGCCUCAGAGCUACAGUUUACCUUGAAGCAAAUUCAUGUCCUGUCCUGCCUUCUUCUCAGCAGGGAUACAACCCAUCAAACACUCCUGUUCUUGGCUGACCCAAAUGCUUUUCAGUUCAAAUCCCAUGCAUGUGUGACUUUGGGGCCAAAACAAAACCCUCUGAGGUUUGGUGCACAUCCCUUGCCAGGAAUAUGGACGUUCAUCUUUUAGUGUCAUGAUAUUCAUUCUCCAUUUAAAUGUGUGGAUUUUCACCAUUUUCACCAUGUUUGUCUCACAAGCUGCUUAAUGCUCCACUAUGUUGAUCAGCUAUAGCUCAUGUCGAACUCUCUCUCUUUAGAUAUGUGUUGCUGAAAAGCGUUUCUUGCUGUGGCUGGAACAGGGUUAACAAUAGUUGCUGUAUUUGCAAAGCUAAUCUGAAUCUGAAGUACAAGUUAGGAGGGAACUGCACAGGCAUAAACAUUUUCUACAACUGGUAUUUAUACUUUACCUUGAAUCUUUAGAUCUUUAGAGUCUAAUUUGUAUUCAUUUUCAUGUUUCCUUACUUAUGGCAUUUCUGUGGUAGACUAACCUUAAACAAACCUGAUUUAACCCCAACUACAACACAGUCGGGACAGUGAUAUCACAAUAGUUUGUUUUUCUGCUGAUCCAUAGAGUAAUUAAAUGUUAUUUUACCAGCCUCUGUUAUCAUUCCACAAGCAAGGCAGUUUAGUUCCAGUUCAAACAACUGCCGCCAUUCUGGUCACUUUAUCUGAGACAUAAUAUUUUCUCUCUGAAUUAGCAUUAGAGAAUAUGGACCAAGGUGGAGAGCUUUAAUGUGACAGGAUAACAAAUCAUUGGUAGGCAGACAUGCCGGAACACACACACAGGCGGACAA